UACGGGGGGGGCAAGCGUUGUUCGGAAUUACUGGGCGUAAAGGGCUCGUAGGCGGCCAACUAAGUCCGACGUGAAAUCCCCAGGCUUAACCUGGGAACUGCGUCGGAUACUGGAUGGCUUGAAUCCGGGAGAGGGAUGCGGAAUUCCAGGUGUAGCGGUGAAAUGCGUAGAUAUCUGGAGGAACACCGGUGGCGAAGGCGGGUCUCUGGACAGUUCCUGACGCUGAGGCACGAAGGUCAGGGGAGCAAACGGG
rnacentral:rRNA from 1 species